rnacentral:rRNA from 1 species
GACGAACGCUGGCGGCGUGCUUAACACAUGCAAGUCGAACGGAAAGGCCCUGCUUUUGUGGGGUGCUCGAUUGGCGAACGGGUGAGUAACACGUGAGUAACCUGCCCUUGACUUUGGGAUAACUUCAGGAAACUGGGGCUAAUACCGGAUAGGAGCUCCUGCUCCAUGGUGGGGGUUGGAAAGUUUCGGCGGUUGGGGAUGGACUCGCGGCUUAUCCGCUUGUUGGUGGGGUAGUGGCUUACCAAGGCUUUGACGGGUAGCCGGCCUGAGAGGGGGACCGGCGACAAGGGGCCUGCGAUACGGCGCAGAAGCCUACGGGAGGCAGCAGUGGGGAGUAUGGCAGAAUGGGGGGAAGCCUGAGGCAGCAACGCCGCGUGCGGGAAGAUGGCUUACGGGGUGAAAACCGCUGUCGCAUGUGACGAAGCGUGAGUGACGGUAAUGGGUAAAGAAGCACCGGCUAACUACGUG